rnacentral:ncRNA from 2 species
UCUCUCAAGGAGCGCUGCAGCGCCGGGGGGCAUCGGCCAGAUGCCCGCACCCGGUGUCAGGCUUGAGACGUCGGGGCCACACGGUCCCGGCUGGUCACACAGACCCCCAACGGCGCUCACCAGUU